GACGAACGCUGGCGGCGUGCUUAACACAUGCAAGUCGAACGAAGAGCGACGGAAGCUUGCUUCUAUCAAUCUUAGUGGCGAACGGGUGAGUAACGCGUAAUCAACCUGCCCUUCAGAGGGGGACAACAGUUGGAAACGACUGCCAAUACCGCAUACGAUCUAACCUCGGCAUCGAGGAUAGAUGAAAGGUGGCCUCUACAUGUAAGCUAUCACUGAAGGAGGGGAUUGCGUCUGAUUAGCUAGUUGGAGGGGUAACGGCCCACCAAGGCGAUGAUCAGUAGCCGGUCUGAGAGGAUGAACGGCCACAUUGGGACUGAGACACGGCCCAGACUCCUACGGGAGGCAGCAGUGGGGAAUCUUCCGCAAUGGACGAAAGUCUGACGGAGCAACGCCGCGUGAGUGAUGACGGCCUUCGGGUUGUAAAGCUCUGUUAAUCGGGACGAAAGGCCUUCUUGCGAAUAGUGAGAAGGAUUGACGGUACCGGAAUAGAAAGCCACGGCUAACUACGUG
rnacentral:rRNA from 1 species